rnacentral:misc_RNA from 1 species
GAUGAAGAACGCAGCGAAACGCGAUAGUUAAUGUGAAUUGCAGAAUUCAGUGAAUCAUCGAGUCUUUGAACGCACAUUGCGCCUUUUGGUAUUCCGAGAGGCACGUCUGUUUGAGCGUCAGCAAAACCCUCCGGCCCCCGGUUUUAUCGCCGGGGAACUCGGGCCAGCUGGCGCGGGGACUGGCCGCCGCGCUUCGGUGCGGGCGGGCCUUCCCCCGCUUAAAGGUGUUGAAGUUAGCGGGGUGUGCCCCGGAUCGCGAAGACUCGUAAGCACUUACCGUCUUGAAGCGUCCGGAAAACCCCCCGCCUUAAACCAAAAAAAAUAAAGUGUGCCCUCUCGUGGCCCUUUUUUUUUUCGAACCCUUGACCUCAGAUCAGACGAGGAUACCCGCUGAACUUAAGCAUAUCAAUAAGCGGAGGA